AAAUAUUAAAAUUCUUUAAAAAAAAAGAUAAAAAUACUUUUAAAAAGGACUGGGGGAUGUGGCUCAGUUUAAGCACCUUGGGGUUUAAUCUCUGGUACAAAAAAAAAAUUAAGAUUGGACCUACAGAGCAGAUUCUUCUCUUAUCUGCCUCACUUGGAAGCCAAAUGACCCAGAAGUAUCUGCUAUCUGCUAUACUUUGUUUUCCAGAAAGGACAGAAACUACUGACAUGGUUCUUGACACACUUGUCUAAUCUGUCCCUUCCCCUUCUGUGAAAGCAUGUGGACACCUUCAAACAUGGCCCCAAUAACACUGCAGAAAUACAGCUAGGAGGCUGGUGAUAUAGCUCGGUUGGUAAAGUGCUUGCCUUACCCAGCACACACACACACACACACACACAUAUAGUAUGAGUUAUUAUUUGUAUAUAGUAUAUAGUACAGUAUUUGUAUAUAGUAGAGUUAAUUAUUUGUAUAAGUUCAUAUUUUUAUAUAUUAGUAGCCAAUUGUCCCAGCAUCAUUUUGUGAAAAGUUUAUCUUUUUCCCAACUGAAUUCUGUUGGCACCUUUGUUAAAAAUUAAUUGAACAUUAAUGGGUCUGGGGACAUAGUUUAUUUGUUAGAGUGCUUGCUUUGCAUGUACAAGGCCUUGGGUUCAAUCCCCAGCACCAUAAAUAAAUAAAUAAAUAACAAAUAAAUAAAUAAAUAAAUAAAUAAAUAAAAAUUAAACAUUUUAAUGGACUCUCAAUUCUGUUCCAUGACACCAAUAUUAUGUCCAUCUUGACAUUAUUUAAACUGUAUCUUUUUUUAAAUUUUUUUAAAGAGAGAGAGAGAGAGAGAGAGAAAGAAUUUUUUAAUAUUUAUUUUUUAGUUUUCAGCAGGCACAACAUCUUUGUUUGUAUGUGGUGCUGAGGAUCGAACCCAGGCCGCACGCAUGCCAGGCGAGCGCGCUACCGCUUGAGCCACAUCCCCAGCCCUAAACUGUAUCUUUAGUUUUCAGAUAAGGUAAUGUAAACCCUCCAAGUUGUUCUACUUUUGGAAAAUUGUUUUGGCUAUUCUAGGUCAUUUGCAUUUUCGUAUACAUUUGAGGAUCGAAUUGUCAAUUUCUACAAUAAAAUGCCUGCCAGAAUUUUCAUAAGGGUUGAAUUGAAUCUAUUGAUAAAUUGGGGAGAACUACCAUUUUAUCAUUUUCAGUUAUUCCAAUUCAUGAAUAUGGUAUGUCUCACCAUUUAGUUAGAUCUUUAAAACUCUCAACAAUCUUAUGUAAAUUUCAGUGUACCAGUUUUACACUUCUUUUGUUA
rnacentral:lncRNA from 1 species